ACAGAAGUUCACACCAAGAUGGUUCGAUCUAACGGAUGAGAUCACAUCUACGCCAUGGGGAGAUAUUGAAAUAUACCAAUACAACGGGAAGUACACUGAACACCGAGAUUCAGCAGCGAGCUCGAGCGGGGCUUCCAAUGCAGAGGACCUCAAAUCGAUCGAGUUUAAUCCAUGGCAAUAUGGUAAUGUAUCAACCGAAUGAGGCAACGUCUCAUUAUUUUAAUAUAUGACAUCGACAUACUCAAUGGUGUGGUUCAUGGGACUCGUGAAGAUGAGUUCAAAGUUGUUUUAUACUUUGUUCCAGGGUGAAAAAGUCUGAUUACGUAGUUUGAGUGGUGAAACAUAAGAUUGUGUUUGUCUUAUUGUAUCCUUGUUUCCAUCUCCAUUCAAAAGUAAUUGUGUUUGUCAUGCUUCUAUUAUUUAGAGAUAUUUGGUCUUCUCUUUGUUCAAUUUAAGUUUCCAUUCGAGUAAAUUCGCAUACUUGUGUCCUCGUAACAUCUCCAUAGAAACUAGAUUUUAUACAAGUUGUCUUAUAAAAUCAUAAUUUGUAUGUCCUCUUCGAAGUUUGUUUAUCUUUUUUUUCUUUUAUGGUUUAAGUGUGUUUUUCAAUUUCUUCUACGUAAAUGUCACCAAAAAGAGUCUUAAAACAAUAAACUUUAAAUUGUGGUCAGAUGAAAUUAAUAAAACUUUAUAAUAUUAUGUACCAACAAACCAUGCAAAACAUCUUUUUUUGUGUGUGUGUUCAACUCAUGCAAAAACAUCUAAAAACGGUUGUUACAAGAGAGAGAGUAAGAUUCAAAAACAAAGAAAGGAGACGUUGCAUUGCAUUAUUAACUUUUUGUUUGCGUCUGUGAAAAGUAGAUAAGAGGGAGUAAAAAAAAAGUUUGACAGCUCUGUUCUAGGAAUCAUUGACGUCAGCGACUUCUUGCAUGCAUUAAAGAGUGAGAGACGAGGUUGCCUCAUUUCUCUAUUUUGUCGCAUUCAAAAAGAUAUUGAAGGAGAGAGCUAUAGGCAAUAAAAGAGGUGGACAGCUAUCGUACUAAUUGUGUUCUUAUUACCACGGUAACAAUUCAAAGAAGGAAUGCAAUUAUUUUAACAGUGGUUAAAAUGUUUAAAAGAUCAUAGAAGUAACAUUAAGCAAGCGGAUGACCAGUCAAAGAGCCGCCUGUUUCGUCUUAUAUCAAACAACAAAAUCAUAAUCCAUUUCUACGCAAACAAGAGAGAGAGAAAACACAGAGAAAGAAGAAGAAGAAGAAGAAGAAGAAGAAAGAGAGAUGGCUGCAUACAUUGACAUGUCGAGGAUUCCUUACAUCCCUGGUCUGUCUCUUUCUUUCUUUAUUUCUCUUUGUCUAUUAGUCUCCCUUAUAACAAACAUUUGUUCAUGUUUCAAAGUUAUAAACAAUUGAAACGUCUCUUGACAUGAAACUUGUUGCAAAGAUUUAAUCUUUUCAUGGAAAUAAAGUUUCAUUCUUUAUUGAUCUUAGUCUUUAGUACUCUCUUCUUUGGCUCUAUUUAACAUGAAACUUGUUACAUAGCUCUCCUCCAUGAAGAAUAAAGUUUCCUACUUUCUUUGACUCUCUCUGUCUACGUUCUACAGGGAGGUUGCACGCGACCAACAACCCGUACCAGAGAUACGGUCCCAAGGGUUUCAUGGAAAUCAAGGUCCUUCACAACGACAACCUCUACGUCCGCGUCGACUUGCCCGGCGUUCCAGACGACGCCAUCCGCUACAGAGUCGACGCCGUGAGACAAAAGGUUGUCUUUUUCUCCGGCGAAGAAACCCUCCGCGACGGCUACAAGGCUGACGACGUGCGCGAGUACUCUGGAACCGCCGGUCUAGGCUGCGACUGCUGCGAGAUCACCGGCGUGGAGGCCAAGAUGAAAGAUGGAGUCUUGAGGAUGAUUCUCGCAAGGGUCAAAGUGAAGGACCAUGACAAGAAAUGUACUCGCUUUUUGCCUCCUAACACAGGUUCGAAUCCCUUCAAAAUCACACCUUUUUGUGUAUUAUUAUCCAUUAUUAUAAUAUUACUCUUCGUUUGUUGUCGUUUUUAUAGGCAAAUCUGGGAGAUACGAUGUGAAUUCAUUUAACUGUGUUGAAGUGGAGGGUCAUCCCUUUGUGGUGAAAGGUCGCAAGGACACGUUGGCUUCCCACCGAACGUCUGAUGGAUGUUAUCACUUCUCGGUGGAUAUGCCUGGUGUUUGCGGCGAUGACAUGUUCGUGAUUCCCAACGAGAACGAGAUCAAGUUCUAUGGUGAGAACAAGGAGGUGUGCAUGAGCACGAUGAGAGUUGCCGUAUUUUCCUUGGAGCCGUCAGCAAUGUUCAAUGCUGUUCCUAUGGGAUUCCGCUUUUGAGCCACAACAUCGCUUGGGAUGCAGAGUUUGGUGUUCUCAAAGUGCGUGUUUCACCACAAUGAGUAAUCAAUCAUCAUCACUCUUAAGUAGAUUAUUAUCUACUACGUACGUUUUUCAUAUAUGUCCUGUCUGUUGGAGACCUUAUGAUUUUUGAACUACUAGUUGUGUGUUUUAAGUUGAGACUAUUGUUAUGUGUGUGUCCUGCUUUUGUGUUUCUUGCUGUGACCAGUCAUGUUCAUUGCGUUCACAAUUUCUAAAUUUUUAUUCCCUUAAGAUGAUGAUGACAAACCGAUUAGAACUUGAAUUUUCUAAAGAUAGGAAGAUGAAACACACACAAAUCUGAGAAGGAAAGGUUAUAGGAAACCUCAUGAGAAGUGACUCAUGAAGCAUUUCUCUUCGAAACAUAUGGGCAGUUGAAUCCUCGUCCUAGACUCCUCGAAUGUUGUAACCUCACAAGUCAUUUGCUCAGUGUUCUAUGGUGGUUGAACACCAUUCCUCCCUAAAGGAAGAGCAAGUCCAGACCUAAUAAAUGUACAAUAAUAAAAAAAAAUAUCCUAAACAGACUUGGCAAUGAAAACCUUACAUGUUAUGAAAAUAUGGUACCAACGCAAAGGAGAGCAUGUGACAUGAAUAUAGCCUUUCAUAUUCAAAAUUGCUGAACAAUGUGUGACAAAAGUAGCCACGAAUUAAUAUAUUUCAUUUCUUUCUGAGCAGGUGCAUCAUCUAUUCACUUCAUUGCUAUCAGUUAGUUUGCAACUAAUUAAAGGUGUCCAUCUUGACUCAGUUAUAAUAUAAGUUAAUUUGUGUUUUAUUUCAGGUUAGCCAUCAUCCCCCAAUGAGUGCUGGUCACGCCGAGAACGAGCACUUCACUUAUGACGCACCUCCAAGUUGAAAACUAAGCUUUUGGGUAAUUCUGUUGAUGUUUACCCUGUUGGCAGGUAAUUUUGUUACUAUUUAUGAUCCUCUUCUCUCUCUUUGUUAGAGGCUCUCUUAAUCAAGAAGGAAACUUCUUUCUGCAUAGUAUUCUGUUUAAGCUCAUGCAGCUUAUAUAUCGUCAAAAAAAAUGCUGUGGAUUUGGUACCGCCUCUCACUAAGGUUCACAACCUGAUAUUUGGACGAACUUGGGUUUUUAUGCAGCAAGAAGUUUCCUUCGUUUCCCUUUUACCACAUAGUACCUGAUAGUAUUUUCUUAUGCCUUUUUUUGUUUUGUUUUGUGUUGAAUCCUUCAGGUGUGGCAUGUGGCUGAUGUUCCCAAGAAUGACAAAUUUCAGUACACGCACUUUGGUCACAAGAUAAACAGCUUCGACACAGCUCCUUCUAAGCUCUUGGCUUCAGACUCACGUCUCCGUCCUGUUAGAUAUGCCCUUGAACAGGCUGACCUUUCUAAAGAUACUUUGAGAAUUGGUUUUUGUAUAAAUAUCAUCAAUGAAUCCUUGUUAGAGCAUGAACACACAGUUAUGCUCUGCAUACGAGGUUCUUCGCGGUGUCAUUUUUUUUUUUUUUUUAAUCUCAGCCUUGAGGAGAGGCAAAGGGCCGAAAAUAAGACACGAGAGACUAAGAACCAGAAGUUCACUCCAAGGUGGUUCGAUCUAACGGAUGAGAUCACAUCUACGCCGUGGGGAGAUACUGAAAUAUACCAAUACAACGGGAAGUACACUGAACACCGAGAUGCAGCAGCGAGCUCUAGCGGUGCCUCCGAUGAAGUGGACCUCAAAUCGAUCGAGUUUAAUCCCUGGCAAUAUGGUAAUGUAUCAACCGAAUGAGGCAACG
rnacentral:lncRNA from 1 species